CAAUGAUAUACAAAAAAUCCCUUAAAAUCUUCAAAUAUUGUAAGCACGUUUCAGCAGGGCUUUCUUAACCUCUAAAUAUCCCCUUUCUAGAUUUGUAAAGCUCUGCGAAAUAUGUUCAAAGCUGUGUUUUGAAGCAUAUUUUGUUACUGGUUAUACCACAGGCAAGAGCUAGAUAUCCUUUGUUUAAAAACAGUGAUUUCCACCUGCCUACACCCAACCAGAAGUCUUCUACUCUUUUGUGGCUUAUUACAGCUAUCAAAAUAUCCACUAAACUGGUGUUGGGAUAGGUGUUCAUGAGGCCACAAACUGAACUUUAUAUGGCCUAUUCACAUGUGCUGAACAGUAGCUGAAUGGCACUUAGUUGUCCAAAUUUAGGUGUUUCAACUAAAG